ensembl:snRNA U6 U6 spliceosomal RNA
GAGCGCUCACUUAGGCACACAAAUAUUAAAAUUUGAAUGGCACAGAGAUGAUUAGCAUGGCUUCUAUGCAAGGAUGACAUGCAAAUUCGUGAAGCAUUCUGUAUUUUU